rnacentral:rRNA from 1 species
CAGCACCUCAAGUGGUCAGGAUGAUUAUUGGGCCUAAAGCAUCCGUAGCUUGCUUUGUCAGUCUUCGGUUAAAUCCAUACGCUCAACGUAUGGGCUGCCGGGAAUACUGCAAGGCUAGGGAGUGGGAGAGGUAGACGGUACUCGGUAGGAAGGGGUAAAAUCCUUUGAUUUAUUGAUGACCACCUGUGGCGAAGGCGGUCUACCAGAACACGUCCGACGGUGAGGGAUGAAAGCUGGGGGAGCAAACCGGAUUAGAUACCCGAGUAGUCC